GCCAGAAACAACAAAAUAUGGGAGGGGAAAAAAGAAUAAAUAAAACAAUGCAUUAACAACUUGUCUCAAUAGUUCCACAACUGUACAAAAUGCUGGAAACACAACCAGGUACAGGAAAUAAAUUCCACUAGGUAUCACCAAUUCUGCUCUUAAGCUUGAGGAUCUUCACCUUCAUCACUUCAGAAAAGACGACUGUCUAGAAUAAAGGUCAAAUCACAGAUCAUUUUACUGUUUUUGAGUGUUUGAUAAGCCAGUCAAUGACAACAUCUAUGUUUAUUGAGUCCUUGCAUGAAAUCAUAUAGCAGCACACCUCUCUAUCCGUAAUUGAUUCAAGACCUCUGAAACCAAAAAAUAAAUAAGAAUUGUUUUACCAUUUAUGGAUAUGAAUCAAUACAAAAUCCAACAUCAUUAAUAAAGUAAUUUUCUCUAAAAACUUUCUAACUCACAGCUGAUCCACCAAAGCUUGCUUUGAAAGAGCUUCAGACCUGUCGAUUUUGUUACCAAGAACAAGCAAAGGAAUUCCACUCAAGGAGGGUUUUACCAGGAGGUCAUGCAAUUCACUUCGAGAUAUUGGAACACUGUCUCUAUCAGCAGCAUCAACUACAUAUCUGCGCUUGCAUCAAUUGAAGAGGUAAAUAUGUAGUUAAUUAGUCCAUUUGAAGGCCAAGGAGAAUGCAACAUCAACCAUUGUCCACUAUUGCUCUCUCAAACUGAAGGAGCGAAGGAAAAAGGAAAACUCAAAAAUCUUACAACAGUGUGGGUCAAAGGACUUCCAAUAGGAUUCCAAUUUUAAGUUCGUCCUCUAUUUCAGUUUCCAAAAGACAGAAUAUUUAGCAAAUCUGUAUGAUGAGGUCCCUUAGACUGCUUUUAUGCUAUUUUUUAAGUCAGUGCAUUUCAGAUUACCUGGAAUUGAGACAUGCAAACUAGCAUUGUUAUUUAUUUAUUAUUAUUUUAAUGACCCCAUCCAGCAGAAAAGAGAAGGAUAGAGAAAACAGGCGCUCCUUUUGCAGUUAUACACGCACAACUAGAUGGAGAAGAACUUCUCAUAUCCAAAACAACAGAGUAAAUUCUAUUCUGGGCAUUAAAAUUCAAACCCAGCAUACUUCUUGAUUUUAAACACCACCUGCACUUCAGUUAAAACAUGACACAGAUUCAAAGCAUUUUGUAGCAUAUUUAAGCUCAAAAAAGAAAGAAGGUUGUAAAAGUAGUCCAAAGAUGGAGGUCGAAAUCAGGAGUCAAUUAAAAUGUUAACAGAAUUUUAUAUGAGGUCAAUUGUCUGGGUCUGUUCUAACUUCUAAGGUCUCUUGUUCUUGCAAACUGGAAAUUUGCUUGUCCUCAAAAAUCAAUGCAUUCUACUAAAUAAAAUAAUAUAGGGAAGUUAUAUAGUAUUAAAUUCAUAAAGAGACUAGGAAGUAUUACAGAAUCGCAGAGACCCCACGACAGUAACGCUCCCACAUGCUUCGAAAUCUCCGCUGCCCUCCAAGAUCCCAGAGCUUUAUUGUCACAUUUCCUUUUGUAACUUUCCUCAUAUUGAAUCCAACAGUUGGAAUCAUGUCCUCACUGUAUCCUCCGGUAGCAACUGCAUUAACAAGAGACGUCUUUCCUGCAUUCUGGAGGCCUACAAGGGAUAGCUCCAUUUCCUGUUUAAAGAAUAAACUCCGGAGCCAGUUCAGAAGGGAA
rnacentral:misc_RNA from 1 species